UACGAAGGGGACUAGCGUUGUUCGGAAUUACUGGGCGUAAAGGGCGCGUAGGCGGCCUGCUAAGUCGGAUGUGAAAUCCCUCGGCUCAACCGAGGAACUGCAUCCGAUACUGGGCCGGGCUUGAAUCCGGGAGAGGGAUGUGGAAUUCCAGGUGUAGCGGUGAAAUGCGUAGAUAUCUGGAGGAACACCGGUGGCGAAGGCGGCAUCCUGGACCGGGUAUUGACGGCUGAGGAGCGAAAAGCC
rnacentral:rRNA from 1 species